CCUACGGGAGGCAGCAGUGAGGAAUAUUGGUCAAUGGACGAGAGUCUGAACCAGCCAAGUAGCGUGAAGGAUGACUGCCCUAUGGGUUGUAAACUUCUUUUAUAUGGGAAUAAAAUGUUCCACGUGUGGGAUUUUGUAUGUACCAUAUGCAUAAGGAUCGGCUAACUCCGUGCCAGCAGCCGCGGUAAUACGGAGGAUCCGAGCGUUAUCCGGAUUUAUUGGGUUUAAAGGGAGCGUAGGUGGAUUGUUAAGUCAGUGGUGAAAGUUUGCGGCUCAACCGUAGAAUUGCAGUUGAAACUGGCAGUCUUGAGUACAGUAGAGGUAGGCGGAAUGCGUGGUGUAGCGGUGAAAUGCUUAGAUAUCACGAAGAACUCCGAUUGCGAAGGCAGUUCACUGGACUGCAACUGACACUGAGGCUCGAAAGUGUGGGUAUCAAACAGGAUUAGAUACCCGAGUAGUC
rnacentral:rRNA from 1 species